CUACGGGAGGCAGCAGUGGGGAAUAUUGCACAAUGGGGGAAACCCUGAUGCAGCGACGCCGCGUGAGUGAAGAAGUAUUUCGGUAUGUAAAGCUCUAUCAGCAGGGAAGAAAAUGACGGUACCUGACUAAGAAGCCCCGGCUAACUACGUGCCAGCAGCCGCGGUAAUACGUAGGGGGCAAGCGUUAUCCGGAUUUACUGGGUGUAAAGGGAGCGUAGACGGUGAGACAAGUCUGAAGUGAAAUCCCGGGGCUCAACCCCGGAACUGCUUUGGAAACUGCCUGACUAGAGUGCAGGAGAGGUAAGUGGAAUUCCUAGUGUAGCGGUGAAAUGCGUAGAUAUUAGGAGGAACACCAGUGGCGAAGGCGGCUUACUGGACUGUAACUGACGUUGAGGCUCGAAAGCGUGGGGAGCAAACAGGAUUAGAUACCCUUGUAGUC
rnacentral:rRNA from 1 species